rnacentral:rRNA from 1 species
AGCAGCCGCGGUAAUUCCAGCUCCAAUAGCGUAUAUUAAAGUUGUUGCAGUUAAAAAGCUCGUAGUUGAAUUUCGAGAUCAAAUUGUUGGUCGUGCCUUGGUACGCACUGGCAUUAUUGGUUUCUCCCUUCUGACGAACCAUGAUGUCAUUAAUUUGGUGUCUUGGGGAAUCAGGACUGUUACUUUGAAAAAUUAGAGUGUUUAAAGCAGGCUCACGCUUGAAUACAUUAGCAUGGAAUAAUGAAAUAGGACGUUUGAUUCUAUUUUGUUGGUUUCUAGGAUCGACGUAAUGAUUAAUAGGGAUAGUUGGGGGCAUUAGUAUUCAAUUGUCAGAGGUGAAAUUCUUGGAUUUAUUGAAGACUAACUACUGCGAAAGCAUUUGCCAAGGAUGUUUUCAUUAAUCAAGAACGAAAGUUAGGGGAUCGAAGACGAUCAGAUACCGUCGUAGUCUUAACCAUAAACUAUAGCCGACUAGGGAUCGGAUGAUGUAAUUUUUAAUGACUCAUUC